rnacentral:rRNA from 1 species
GACAGAGGCCUCGAGCGUUAGGCGGAAUCACUGGGCUUAAAGCGUGUGUGGGCGGGCCCGUCAGUACCUUGUGAAAUCCCACGGCUCAACCGUGGAACCGCUGGGUAUACUGCGGGUCUUGGGCCGACUAGGGGCAGCCGGAACAAGCGGUGGAGCGGUGAAAUGCGUAGAUAUCGCUUGGAACGCCGAAGGUGAAAACAGGCUGCUGGGGUCGCGCCGACGCUGAGACACGAAAGCCAGGGGAGCAAACGGG